rnacentral:snRNA from 1 species
GGAGACGGAGCUGAAGACGUCGU